GGGGGACAAAGACACGCAGAGGCAAAGAAACAAACUAGGGGGAACAGACACACAGAGGGGCUAAGGGGGGCAGAAGGGCUUAGAGAGAAAAAGACACACAUACAGGAGCUUGGAGGAUAAAGACAAUUAAAUAAAUUGUAUCAUUUUAGCUCUAUAUUUAUGAAAAAUAUCCCUUAUUAAAGAAAGAAAUGUUUACCUUAAUCUAAUGUCCAC